UUUUGGAUGUUAGAUGAUUAACAUACUAAUUGUCAGAGUGCUCCCAGCUGCUGUCCCACUGUUUUGUGCCACUGUGUCUGCUCACAACUGUUUACGCUUCUUCGCUUUUCUUUUUCUCGUCUUUCUGUGUCUCACUCUCUUUCUUAACUCUUUCUCUCUGACUCCUCCUCUUUCUGUUCCCCCUCUCUCGCUACAGCAUGUCCCUCCCUUCCUCUUUCUGUCUCUACACACCCCCCCCCUCUCCUCCCCUCCCUUUUCUCCCCUUCCCUCUUGGCAGCGGUGCCAAAGUGGGCAGGCGGACCGAGGCAAACACAGCACAGGGCAGAGCAGAGGGCGAUCCAAAGGCUGGCGAAUUGAUUAUGUGUAUGUUUGUGUUUUGAAGUGUCCUCUGUCUGUCUGUCUGUCUGAGCGCUUGUCUCCAUUUUGGUCAUACGCAACUGCAAGUAAUGUGAGUCUAUUGUGAGUCCGCUCUGGAGCUUUUCUCUUUUUGCUGUGCACAGUGUGUUUGAUACCUUGUUUGAUACCUUGCUUGUGUGCGUUUUGUGUGUGUGUGUGUGUGUGUGUGUUGUAGGGCUGUGUUUGAGCAGACGUCCCUCUGUCACCCUGUGUACGGACAGACGUACUCACGCCAGUAGGAGGGGAUUGUGGGAAGGGGGUGUAGCUCUCAGAGGGUGUGCUCUACUCCUCUCUUUUCCCUUCUUCCCGCCAUCACGGCCCUCUUCUCCUCCAGUCCUCCGGCCCAGCCCGCCGCUCACGUACAGGCUCCAGGAGAGUUACCUUUGAGGAUCUUUGAUGCUGAAGCAGCGAGGAUGCUGUCCUUGGGGCUGAGGUAGUAGAUUGAAUAGUUGUGGGGUUGUGUAACCUCUUUUUGAGAUAACUAUACAAUCUACUGUCUUUCCCAAGGAGACAGCUGAGUCAGCCACUCGUCGACUGUCGUCUCCAGAUGGGCAAUCAUGCUGUCCGAUCAAAACAUACGCUUGCAGCAGUCAACAUAAUACACUGUGAAAAGCAUUAUUAUUAAUAUUAUCAUUAUUAUUAUUAUUGUUUUAUUUUUUCUAGAGCAGGUGAGUUAUAUUCCAUGGUCCUUAACUGGGCGUGAACGUGCGGUAUGUCUGAUUUGGGUUCUGCCAGGGUGAGGUAGUAGGUUGUAUAGUUUGGUGGGUGGGAUUGCACCCUGCUCAGGUGAUAACUAUACAGUCUAUUGCCUUCCCUGAGGAGCUCACUGAACACGAAUGAAUAAUCGACACACUCUCAUGGCCAAGUAUCACAUUUAUUUUCAGAUUUCAGGAAAAGGGGAGGGGAGUAGAUCUGUGCUGCUAAAGGUUAGCGAUGCAUUGACUGAAGCUGUCAAAUGAGUUACUCAAAAACAUGUACAUCUCAAUAAAGUAAUUUUUGCCUCAUA